UCCGAUAUGGUCUAGUGGCUAGGAUACCU
rnacentral:piRNA from 1 species